rnacentral:ncRNA from 5 species
UUUGGCAAUGGUAGAACUCACACC